UACGGAGGGGGCUAGCGUUGUUCGGAAUUACUGGGCGUAAAGCGCACGUAGGCGGCUUUGUAAGUUAGAGGUGAAAGCCCGGGGCUCAACUCCGGAAUUGCCUUUAAGACUGCAUCGCUAGAAUUGUGGAGAGGUAAGUGGAAUUCCGAGUGUAGAGGUGAAAUUCGUAGAUAUUCGGAAGAGCACCAGUGGCGAAGGCGACUUACUGGACUGUAACUGACGCUGAGGCAUGAAAGCGUGGGGAGCAAACAGG
rnacentral:rRNA from 1 species